rnacentral:rRNA from 1 species
UACGUAGGGGGCAAGCGUUGUCCGGAAUCAUUGGGCGUAAAGCGCGUGUAGGCGGCUAGAUAAGUCUGCUCUGAAAGCCCGGGGCUCAACCCCCGGGAGGCGGGUGGAUACUGUCUAGCUCGAGUCCGGAAGAGGAGUGUGGAAUUCCUGGUGUAGCGGUGAAAUGCGCAGAUAUCAGGAGGAACACCAAUGGCGAAGGCAGCACUCUGGGACGUGACUGACGCUGAGACGCGAAAGCGUGGGGAGCAAACAGG